rnacentral:rRNA from 1 species
AACGAACGCUGGCGGCAGGCUUAACACAUGCAAGUCGAACGCCCCGCAAGGGGAGUGGCAGACGGGUGAGUAACACGUGGGAACGUGCCCUAAGGUUCGGAACAACUCCGGGAAACUGGAGCUAAUACCGAAUGUGUCCGUAAGGAGAAAGAUUUAUCGCCUUAGGAUCGGCCCGCGUCAGAUUAGCUAGUUGGUGGGGUAAUGGCCUACCAAGGCGACGAUCUGUAGCUGGUCUGAGAGGACGACCAGCCACACUGGGACUGAGACACGGCCCAGACUCCUACGGGAGGCAGCAGUGGGGAAUCUUGGACAAUGGGCGCAAGCCUGAUCCAGCCAUGCCGCGUGGAUGAUGAAGGCCCUAGGGUUGUAAAAUCCUUUCGUUGGGGACGAUAAUGACGGUACCCAAAGAAGAAGCUCCGGCUAACUUCGUGCCAGCAGCCGCAGUAACAC